AUCCAGCUGACGAGACCUAAAUAGGACGAAAAUCACAUCCUGGAU
rnacentral:hammerhead_ribozyme from 1 species